AAAAUAUCUACUGGACAUUUAGUUUGAGAUUUCUGAAAGACAGUUAAAGAUUUGAAAUUGAAGGUCAACAGAGAGAUUAGUGCAGGAAAGGGAGAAUUGAGAGUCAUUAACAGAGAGAUGGUAAUUAAUUCCAUGGCAGUUGAUGAGUUUAUAAAGUGAAGUAGUAGAAAGGUAGAUGUGUAAAGGACCCAGGAUAGAACCUGAGGGAAACCUAUAUUUAGAGAACUUUAUCAGGUAAAGGGACUGAACAUGCUUAACCUGGGGAGAGAAAGACUCAUAAGGACAUGACCAUUUUCUUCAAAUAUUUGAAGUUCUAUCAUGUAGAGAACAGUUAAGCCUCCUCCAUGAUUAGAAGUUCCAUGAGUCCUGGUGACUACUUAUCAGAAGGCCAAUUCUAUAAGGCCCUAAAGGAAAAACUAUCAACGGAAGAUGAAAGUUUCAAGGAGUCAUUUCAGUCAAGAAAAAAGGAGUUACUGAAAUUCCUUGAGCAAGAGAGUGAAAAAUAA
rnacentral:lncRNA from 1 species